AAAUGAAUAGACGGGGGCCCGCACAAGCGGUGGAGCAUGUGGUUUAAUUCGACGCAACGCGAAGAACCUUACCAGGCCUUGACAUGUUGACGAAAGGCUGAGAGAUCAGUCCCUUUUUUCGCAAGAAAGGACGUUAAUGCAGGUGGUGCAUGGUUGUCGUCAGCUCGUGUCGUGAGAUGUUGGGUUAAGUCCCGCAACGAGCGCAACCCUUGUUGUUAGUUGCCAGCACGAAAGGUGGGCACUCUAAUGAGACUGCCGGUGACAAACCGGAGGAAGGUGGGGAUGACGUCAAAUCAUCAUGCCCUUUAUGGCCUGGGCUACACACGUGCUACAAUGGCCUGCACAAAGGGAAGCGAAGGAGCGAUCUGGAGCCAAUCCCAUAAAACAGGUCUCAGUUCGGAUUGCAGGCUGCAACUCGCCUGCAUGAAGUCGGAAUCGCUAGUAAUCGCAGAUCAGCAUGCUGCGGUGAAUACGUUCCCGGGCCUUGUACACACCGCCCGU
rnacentral:rRNA from 1 species